GUCGUCAGAAGAUCUCAAUUAAUUGGCCGCUGACCUCUUAAUUUGAAGGCCGACCACCCCUUUAUGCCAUCGAUAGGAAGAGGGAACCAUUGAUUUGCCAAGAUUUGAUGGUUCCAUCAUCAUCCUCGGUGAUUGCCCCCCCUUCCCUUCCUGUGCGAUUGUCCCAAAAACUUGAUGUCGGCCCAGAUGGUCGCUAGCAUUAGGUCUUAAAGGGACAUAAUCCUUUUUUUUUAAUAGGAUGGAAGAUCGGGAUGCAGGAGGAGAGGUCUCUGAUGCCUUGGCUCCAGGGACUAGCCAUUGGCCCAUUCCGAUGACUAUCGGAGGAAGACUAGAGGUUCGACCAUUGAGA
rnacentral:lncRNA from 1 species